rnacentral:rRNA from 1 species
GCGGGAUUGAAGCUUGCUUCAAUUGCCGGCGACCGGCGCGCGGGUGAGUAACGCGUAUCCAACCUUCCGUACACUCAGGGAUAGCCUUUCGAAAGAAAGAUUAAUACCUGAUGGUAUGAUGAGAUUGCAUGAUAGCAUCAUUAAAGAUUCAUCGGUGUACGAUGGGGAUGCGUUCCAUUAGGUAGUAGGCGGGGUAACGGCCCACCUAGCCUACGAUGGAUAGGGGUUCUGAGAGGAAGGUCCCCCACAUUGGAACUGAGACACGGUCCAAACUCCUACGGGAGGCAGCAGUGAGGAAUAUUGGUCAAUGGACGAGAGUCUGAACCAGCCAAGUAGCGUGAAGGAUGAAGGUCC